rnacentral:rRNA from 1 species
UCGGGUUGUAAAGCACUUUUGUCCGGAAAGAAAACCUCUGCCCGAAUACGGCGGGGGGCUGACGGUACCGGAAGAAUAAGCACCGGCUAACUACGUGCCAGCAGCGCGGUAAUCGUAGGGUGCGAGCGUUAAUCGGAAUUACUGGGCGUAAAGCGUGCGCAGGCGGUUCGUUAAGACAGAUGUGAAAUCCCCGGGCUUAACCUGGGAACUGCAUUUGUGACUGGCGGGCUAGAGUAUGGCAGAGGGGGGUAGAAUUCCACGUGUAGCAGUGAAAUGCGUAGAGAUGUGGAGGAAUACCGAUGGCGAAGGCAGCCCCCUGGGCCAAUACUGACGCUCAUGCACGAAAGCGUGGGGAGCAAACAGGAUUAGAUACCCUGGUAGUCCACGCCCUAAACGAUGUCAACUAGUUGUCGGGUCUUCAUUGACUUGGUAACGUAGCUAACGCGUGAAGUUGACCGCCUGGGGAGUACGGUCGCAAGAUUAAAACUCAAAGGAAUUGACGGGGACCCGCACAAGCGGUGGGAUGAUGUGGAUUAAUUCGAUGCAACGCGAAAAACCUUACCUACUCUUGACAUGGACGGAACCUGGCUG